AAAGUCGUAACAAGGUUUCCGUAGGUGAACCUGCGGAAGGAUCAUUAAUGAAUAACUAUGGUGUUGGUUGUUGCUGGCUUCUAGAAGCAUGUGCACGCCCACCAUUCUUAUCUGUCCACCUGUGAACACAAUGUAGGUCUGGAUAACUCUCGCUUUCGGGCGGAUACAGGGAUUGUCGCUUGCGGCUCUCCUUGAAUUUCCAGAUCUAUGUAUUUACAUACCCCAAUUGAAUGUUGAAGAAUGCAGUCAAUGGGCUUUAAGCCUAUAAAACAAUAUACAACUUUCAGCAACGGAUCUCUUGGCUCUC
rnacentral:misc_RNA from 1 species